rnacentral:rRNA from 1 species
CCUACGGGUGGCAGCAGUGAGGAAUAUUGGUCAAUGGGCGCUAGCCUGAACCAGCCAAGUAGCGUGAAGGAUGACUGCCCUAUGGGUUGUAAACUUCUUUUAUAUGGGAAUAAAGUGCAGUAUGUAUACUGCUUUGCAUGUACCUUAUGAAUAAGGAUCGGCUAACUCCGUGCCAGCAGCCGCGGUAAUACGGAGGAUCCGAGCGUUAUCCGGAUUUAUUGGGUUUAAAGGGAGCGUAGGCGGGUUGUUAAGUCAGUUGUGAAAGUUUGCGGCUCAACCCCAUCCAGCCGUUGAAACUGGGGAUCUAGAGUGUGCGAGAGGUAUGCGGAAUGCGUGGUGUAGCGGUGAAAUGCAUAGAUAUCACGCAGAACCCCGAUUGCGAAGGCAGCAUACCGGUGCACAACUGACGCUCAGGCACGAAAGCGUGGGUAUCGAACAGGAUUAGAUACCCUUGUAGUC